rnacentral:rRNA from 1 species
UGCCCACUGAUAUAAAAAUUAAAGGGCUGCAGUAAUUUGACUGUACAAAGGUAGCAUAAUCAUUAGUCAUUUAAUUGAUGACUUGUAUGAAGGAUUGGAUGAAAUAUAAACUGUCUUAAUUUUAAGUUAUAAAAUUUAAUUUUUUAGUUAAAAAGCUAAAAUAUUAUAAAAAGACGAGAAGACCCUAUAGAGUUUUAUUAAAUAGAUAAAUUAGUAGAUUUUUUGUUUAUUAAGAUUUGAAUUUAUAAUUUAAUUUUAUUGGGGUGAUAGGAAAAUUUAAUAAACUUUUUUUUUAUUUUUACAUAGAUAAAUGAGUAAUUUGAUCCAAUUAUAUUGAUUAAAAGAAAAAAUUACCUUAGGGAUAACAGCGUAAUUUUUUUUUUUAGUUCAUAUAAAAAAUAAAGUUUGCGACCUCGAUGUUGGAUUAAGAUAAAAUUUAAAUGUAGAAGUUUAAAGUUUUGA